CCUACGGGAGGCAGCAGUGAGGAAUAUUGGUCAAUGGGCGUAAGUCUGAACCAGCCAAGUCGCGUGAGGGAUGAAGGUUCUAUGGAUUGUAAACCUCUUUUAUAAGGGAAUAAAGUGAGGGACGUGUCCCGUUUUGUAUGUACCUUAUGAAUAAGGAUCGGCUAACUCCGUGCCAGCAGCCGCGGUAAUACGGAGGAUUCGAGCGUUAUCCGGAUUUAUUGGGUUUAAAGGGUGCGUAGGCGGCCUUCUAAGUCAGCGGUUAAAGUCGGUGGCUCAACCAUAGCAUUGCCGUUGAAACUGGGUUGCUUGAGUGUGUUUGAGGUAGGCGGAAUGCGUGGUGUAGCGGUGAAAUGCAUAGAUAUCACGCAGAACCCCGAUUGCGAAGGCAGCCUGCC
rnacentral:rRNA from 1 species